GUAACACUAACUGGAGGACCGAACCGACUAAUGUUGAAAAAUUAGCGGAUGACCUGUGGCUGGGGGUGAAAGGCCAAUCAAACCGGGAGAUAGCUGGUUCUCCCCGAAAGCUAUUUAGGUAGCGCCUCGUGAAUUCAUCUCCGGGGGUAGAGCACUGUUUCGGCUAGGGGGCCAUCCCGGCUUACCAACCCGAUGCAAACUGCGAAUACCGGAGAAUGUUAUCACGGGAGACACACGGCGGGUGCUAAUGUCCGUCGUGAAGAGGGAAACAACCCAGACCGCCAGCUAAGGUCCCAAAGUCAUGGUUAAGUGGGAAACGAUGUGGGAAGGCCCAGACAGCCAGGAUGUUGGCUUAGAAGCAGCCAUCAUUUAAAGAAAGCGUAAUAGCUCACUGGUCGAGUCGGCCUGCGCGGAAGAUGUAACGGGGCUAAACCAUGCACCGAAGCUGCGGCAGCGACACCGUGUGUUGUUGGGUAGGGGAGCGUUCUGUAAGCCUGUGAAGGUGUGCUGUGAGGCAUGCUGGAGGUAUCAGAAGUGCGAAUGCUGACAUAAGUAACGAUAAAGCGGGUGAAAAGCCCGCUCGCCGGAAGACCAAGGGUUCCUGUCCAACGUUAAUCGGGGCAGGGUGAGUCGACCCCUAAGGCGAGGCCGAAAGGCGUAGUCGAUGGGAAACGGGUUAAUAUUCCCGUACUUGGUGUUACUGCGAAGGGGGGACGGAGAAGGCUAUGUUGGCCGGGCGACGGUUGUCCCGGUUUAAGCGUGUAGGUAUGUGUUCCAGGUAAAUCCGGUUCACUUUAACACUGAGGCGUGACGACGAGGCACUACGGUGCUGAAGCAACAAAUGCCCUGCUUCCAGGAAAAGCCUCUAAGCAUCAGGUAACAUCAAAUCGUACCCCAAACCGACACAGGUGGUCAGGUAGAGAAUACCAAGGCGCUUGAGAGAACUCGGGUGAAGGAACUAGGCAAAAUGGUGCCGUAACUUCGGGAGAAGGCACGCUGACACGUAGGUGAAGUGAUUUACUCACGGAGCUGAAGUCAGCCGAAGAUACCAGCUGGCUGCAACUGUUUAUUAAAAACACAGCACUGUGCAAACACGAAAGUGGACGUAUACGGUGUGACGCCUGCCCGGUGCCGGAAGGUUAAUUGAUGGGGUCAGCGCAAGCGAAGCUCCUGAUCGAAGCCCCGGUAAACGGCGGCCGUAACUAUAACGGUCCUAAGGUAGCGAAAUUCCUUGUCGGGUAAGUUCCGACCUGCACGAAUGGCGUAAUGAUGGCCAGGCUGUCUCCACCCGAGACUCAGUGAAAUUGAACUCGCUGUGAAGAUGCAGUGUACCCGCGGCAAGACGGAAAGACCCCGUGAACCUUUACUAUAGCUUGACACUGAACAUUGAGCCUUGAUGUGUAGGAUAGGUGGGAGGCUUUGAAGUGUGGACGCCAGUCUGCAUGGAGCCGACCUUGAAAUACCACCCUUUAAUGUUUGAUGUUCUAACGUGGACCCGUGAUCCGGGUUGCGGACAGUGUCUGGUGGGUAGUUUGACUGGGGCGGUCUCCUCCUAAAGAGUAACGGAGGAGCACGAAGGUUGGCUAAUCCUGGUCGGACAUCAGGAGGUUAGUGCAAUGGCAUAAGCCAGCUUGACUGCGAGCGUGACGGCGCGAGCAGGUGCGAAAGCAGGUCAUAGUGAUCCGGUGGUUCUGAAUGGAAGGGCCAUCGCUCAACGGAUAAAAGGUACUCCGGGGAUAACAGGCUGAUACCGCCCAAGAGUUCAUAUCGACGGCGGUGUUUGGCACCUCGAUGUCGGCUCAUCACAUCCUGGGGCUGAAGUAGGUCCCAAGGGUAUGGCUGUUCGCCAUUUAAAGUGGUACGCGAGCUGGGUUUAGAACGUCGUGAGACAGUUCGGUCCCUAUCUGCCGUGGGCGCUGGAGAACUGAGGGGGGCUGCUCCUAGUACGAGAGGACCGGAGUGGACGCAUCACUGGUGUUCGGGUUGUCAUGCCAAUGGCACUGCCCGGUAGCUAAAUGCGGAAGAGAUAAGUGCUGAAAGCAUCUAAGCACGAAACUUGCCCCGAGAUGAGUUCUCCCUGAGACUUUAGGUCUCCUGAAGGAACGUUGAAGACGACGACGUUGAUAGGCCGGGUGUGUAAGCGCAGCGAUGCGUUGAGCUAACCGGUACUAAUGAACCGUGAGGCUUAACCUUACAACGCCGAAG
rnacentral:rRNA from 1 species